rnacentral:rRNA from 1 species
UACGUAGGGUGCAAGCGUUAAUCGGAAUUACUGGGCGUAAAGCGUGCGCAGGCGGUUAUGCAAGACAGAUGUGAAAUCCCCGGGCUCAACCUGGGAACUGCAUUUGUGACUGCAUGGCUAGAGUACGGUAGAGGGGGAUGGAAUUCCGCGUGUAGCAGUGAAAUGCGUAGAUAUGCGGAGGAACACCGAUGGCGAAGGCAAUCCCCUGGACCUGUACUGACGCUCAUGCACGAAAGCGUGGGGAGUAAACAGG